UACGGGGGGGGCAAGCGUUGUUCGGAAUUACUGGGCGUAAAGGGCUCGUAGGUGGCCAACUAAGUCAGACGUGAAAUCCCUCGGCUUAACCGGGGAACUGCGUCUGAUACUGGAUGGCUUGAGUUCGGGAGAGGGAUGCGGAAUUCCAGGUGUAGCGGUGAAAUGCGUAGAUAUCUGGAGGAACACCGGUGGCGAAGGCGGCAUCCUGGACCACGACUGACGCUGAGUGAGCGAAAGCCAGGGGAGCGAACGGG
rnacentral:rRNA from 1 species